CAGGGCUUGACACCAAAAAUCACUUGCAUGUUGUAGAACAACCACACAGUAUGUUAUGGCAGUCAGGUAUUCAUCAUGGUGCAUCAGGGCUGGACAUGAACCACAUUGUUGCUGUGCAGCAUGGUUAUGCCAUACCAAUUGUGCAGCACAGCACAACAGGGCUUGACACCCACAAUCAGGUCCACGUUGAACAACCACACACUAUGCCAUGGCAGCCUG